CAUCUGGGAUCACUUCGAAGCUGCACUGAAACUGACAUUUGGACCUUCAAACAGUUGGUAGCCGUUGAAGUCCACUAUACUGUAUGGAGAAAAAUCCUGGAAUGUUUUCCUCAAAAACCUUCAUUUCUUUUUGACUGAAGAAAGAAAAUAAAACAUCUUAGAUGACAUGGGAAGUGAAGAUGUGCUCUUACGAGUGCCCAAGGUGUCACCUGAUUUAGAAGCUUUGUCUGUUGUUUGGAACAAGUACCAUUUGGCAAUGUUUUUGUGAGGGGAAGACAUACAUGGCUUUGCACAUGGGCAGUGCUAGGUACCAGCCGUUGAAUUGUAUGUGACCAUUACUCUCCCAAUGAGAUUAUAGUAAUGAACAGUAGGCUCAUGUAUGGAGAGAGUGAUUUGCUUUUGAGAUUCACCUAAUGCCACCAACACUGAAAUUAAAACAUGAGCUGUCUGAGCUAAUUUUUGUCUUUUCAAAUAAACUGCCUUCUUGAGAUGGUCAAGCUUAAAUUCAUAGGAGAGCUAUGAAUUUAAGCUUGACCAUCUCAUCAAGGACACUUGGUUCCAGGUGCUCCUCAAAUGCUGUGUCAAAACAAUAAUCCAGUGAACAAAAGUGUUCACAGAGACUAAAUGUGUGUCCACUCCAGUGAGCAAGUUGCCGGUAUUGGCGACACUACUCUAACUCACACCUAACAUAAUGAGUUUUACCCUAUGUCUUUCUCUGUACAUGAACUGGUAUAGUGAAACCAUGAUCACUUCUUUGAACUCCUGACAGUCCAUUUUAGGGAUCAAUACACACUGGAAAGAUGUGACUCCAUUGUAAUAUCUUUCAAAUGGUCAGUAUGUUUUCUGUUAAUGUAGAUUAUCUGUAAUGAACUGCUCCAAGACACAAAUGGUUGAGGAUCCAAAUGCAGUGUUUUAUUGAAAGGAUAAUCCACAAUCGUAGUCCACAAACAGGCAAAAGGGUCAAAACACAGGUGGGCAGUCCAAACAAUAAACACAGAACAAGGCAGGGUGGCUUUGAGGAUUCAGGAGGCUCACCAUCUUCAUCCUCAUCAGCCAUCUCCUGCUCUCGUUUGGCUUAGAACAAGAAGAGCAACUGCUGCUGAAUCUAACAAUGUCAUUUACAACACAUCAUCAUAAUCACACAGCUCUCUCCCGUCACGGGGAAUUUCACCCCUUCAACUCUUCAAUAAGCUCCAGCUGAAAACCCCAUGAUCUAGUCUCUACUCUGCCUCAGCAAGAGUAAGACCCGAACCAUUAGGUGCAGCUGCCGGUCCUUCUCCUCUCGAGGAAAAGACCAGAACAGAGUGGAGCAUUUUACAAUAAAACACACAAUAAAAACAGACAGAUCCCUCAAGAACUGCUCUUUUGUUCUCAUAAAAGACAACGUUAUAAGUUAUAUAUGUGAUCAGAUGUCAACACUACGGGACAUGGAUGCACACACUUCCUGAAACGUUUGUUAGACAUAAUUUGUCUUACCUUAAUAUUGGUUUUAUAUCGCUUGCUUUCAAACAAAAUAGUCCCUAAUGAAAAGAUACUGACUGGUUCUCUAGGAGCUCCUUAUAUACUGUGAUGUAUAUAAUGAUGACGUCAUAGGCUGUCGCCGGCCAAUAGGAUUGUCGUGAGUUGAUAUUAUUUUCAGACACCGGUUCACGAGGAGGCGUUCCCCAAAAGUGUUUUCGAAUGCAGUGUUGAGUUCCCUUUCGAAAGGGAACUAUAUUUUGUUCUAAUGUAUGUAUGAGAUUUGAUUAACUUGCUUAGUUAAUUUAAAGCUGCAAAUAUUUUGUUGUUUCAGGUACAGAAGCAAACAGGGAUAUUUGUGGCCUUCUUUGCAAAAGAGUGGAGAGGCAUUUAACAAUACUACAUCAUUUUAAUGUGUAACUUUCUCUCUUUUUGUUUUUAUUUGAUUAUGGCUCAUCAGAUAUUGUUUAACAUAAAUUAGUCAUUUGUUUUUAAAGUAUGUUUUUGCAUGUGCAACAGGAACAUAGUUUCAGAGCAGUUCACAAUAAUUUAAUAUCACACGUUUAUGCCUAUCGUUUGCUUAUAAUGCACCUUUGAUGAACUGACAAUAGCUAUGUUUCCAUCGCCCUGUGUUUAUGCACAUUUUGAAGUAUCUCAUCAGAAAAAAUUCACAAAAUUCAAGUUUUUUGACGAAAUGGAUAGGAUUCUCGGCCACAGACCUAUCAUUAGGACUCUGGCUUCUGUCAUUAACAGUUCAGGUUGGUAUUGACUUAUUACAUUAAAUUAUUGGUUAACAUUUAAAGGGAUUUUUCAACAUGGGCUCUGUGUUUACAUUUUUUUUUGUGUGUCUAGAGACGAAUGGUGAGGACGUCGAGAAUGAGCUUGAAAACACACAGAGCAACGCUGAAUCAGAAAGUACCAUGAAGCCCUAAUUCACAGCUUGUUGCAGCUCUUUUUAACUUAAAGGUUUACUUCACUUAAAAGUGAAAUUUCUGUCAUUUAGCCUAUUAUUCACCCUCAUGUACAUCAUCUUUGAAACACAAAUGAAGAUGUUUUUGAUGAAAUCCGAGAGCUCUCUGACUCGUCCAUAGACAGCAAUUUAAUUACCACUGUCAAGGUCCAGAAAGGUACUAAAGACAUUGUUAAAAUAGUCCACAUGACUGCAGUGGUUCAACCUUACAUUUCUCAUUUUGGUGUGUAAAUGUAUUCAAUUAAUCCAAGUCUACAGUUGUGAUCCACACUCAAAGUUCUUUUAAGCACUUUAUUGUAUAUUUAAUCAGUGAGCUGAAACAUCAAUAAAAAAAAUCACUAAAAUAUCCCUUCUGUGCCCACAUUCUUCAUCACCCACAGUUACACAAGCACAUUAAUAACCACAUAAUCCCUGAUCUCAUCAAACAUUAUGUUCUUAUUUGAUUUUUCUACCUUUCUAACAAAAGCAAAUGUAUGUUUGUAAGUUCACAUUGUGACAUACUGCUAUACUAGUUGAAUAAAUAAUACAGACAAUGCUAUUACUAUAUAAAUAAUUGUCAAAAACAUGUCACAUACAACUCUUUUAGUUAUUAAAAUGUAUCGAUUGCUUUCUUACUGUGGGCACCCACAACACAGCUAACAGCAUUUUAUUAUCUUACAUUGACUAAUAUCUACAUAUAUUACCAUGAAUUACCACAUUAUAGUAAAAGAUUAUCAGAGUGUAAAAGCUUCUUGUGCUUUUCUUUGUGCACUACAGAGUAAAAUAACAUCAAUCACUUUUAUAUGUUACCCAAUGAGGGUGUAAUUGAAACCCACUCCCUCUCUUAAUAAGGUAGAAAGUAGCUACUGCUACAUCCAGUAUUUACAUGCCUGUUUCCAAACCAGCAUGCGGAUUACUUGCUGUUAUAUACAACAUAAACACAUUUAUGAGUCCUUCAGUUAAUUAUUGUCUUUUUUGGUAUUAUUAUCUUAUGAAAUGGCCAGCUUUGCCACCCCUCCUAACCACCUGAGCUCCACCUGCUUCUUGUUCAGUCUGGGAAACUGUAUCAGCAGUUAUUCUGACAUCUUACUGUACAUCGGCUCAUCUCAGAAGAGUGAACUCAACUACAGAGUGCGGUAAACCAACUGAAGAGAAGAUUUAUUCCGGUCAAUUUCAGAUUCAGAAACAAGAAUGUCUCAAACUGUCGUACCCAUGACCUCUUCGACGCUUGUCAUCCAGUUUCAACCACCAACACAAACAACAGCAGCUGGAACUGGGACAAAUGCUCCUGUGCCUGUUUAUGCCAGAGUUUCACCUCUUAAUGGACUUCAGGCAUUUCUGAAUGGCCAACCAAAAGCUCUUGGGACUGUCCAGAUAAUGAUUGGUCUGUGGACUCUCCUGUUGGGAAUCGUGUCUUCACUUCAUGCAGAAUCCAUCUCUGUCUUCAGUGGUGUUGUUUACUGGGGAUCUCUCAUCUACAUUAUCGCAGGCUCACUCUCCAUUGCUGCAGAAAACAAAGUGAAUUCACCCUCCAGUUUGCGUUUGGUGAAAGGUUCACUUAGAAUGAACAUUUUCAGUGCUAUAACUGCAGUCAUGUCCAUCAUCAUAAUUUCAAUGGAUUUGGU